rnacentral:rRNA from 1 species
CGAACCUACGGGGCGCAGCAGUGAGGAAUAUUGGUCAAUGGGCGCGAGCCUGAACCAGCCAAGUAGCGUGAAGGACGACUGCCCUACGGGUUGUAAACUUCUUUUAUAAAGGAAUAAAGUGAGGCACGUGUGCCUUUUUGUAUGUACUUUAUGAAUAAGGAUCGGCUAACUCCGUGCCAGCAGCCGCGGUAAUACGGAGGAUCCGCGCGUUAUACGGAUUUAUUGGGUUUAAAGGGAGCGUAGAUGGUUUGUUAAGUCAGUUGUGAAAGUUUG